UAGGGAAUAUUGCGCAAUGGGCGAAAGCCUGACGCAGCAAUACCGCGUGAGUGAGGAAGGCCUUCGGGUUGUAAAACUCUGUCGGAGUGGAAAAAUGGCGGAUGGUCUAAUAGGCCAUACGAUUGAUGGUACACUCAAAGGAAGCACCGGCUAACUUCGUGCCAGCAGCCGCGGUAAUACGAAGGGUGCAAGCGUUGUUCGGAUUUAUUGGGCGUAAAGCGCGCGCAGGCGGAUUGUUAAGCAAGAUGUGAAAUCUCGGGGCUCAACCUCGAAAGUGCGUCUUGAACUGGCGAUCUAGAAUAACGUAGAGGGUAGGGGAAUUUCUCAUGUAGGGGUAAAAUCCGUAGAGAUGAGAAGGAACACCGGAGGCGAAAGCGCCUACCUGGCCGUUUAUUGACGC
rnacentral:rRNA from 1 species